rnacentral:tRNA from 29 species
GUGGAGCAGCCUGGUAGCUCGUCGGGCUCAUAACCCGAAGGUCGUCGGUUCAAAUCCGGCC